rnacentral:rRNA from 1 species
UGGGGAAUUUUGCACAAUGGGGGAAACCCUGAUGCAGCGACGCCGCGUGAUUUAGAAGGCAUUCGGGUUGUAAAAAUCUUUUCUAUGGGAAGAAAAUGACAGUACCAUAGGAAUAAGGACCGGCUAAUUACGUGCCAGCAGCCGCGGUAAUACGUAAGGUCCGAGCGUUGUCCGGAAUCAUUGGGCGUAAAGGGUACGUAGGCGGGUAAGCAAGUUAGAAGUGAAAUCCUAUAGCUCAACUAUAGUAAGCUUUUAAAACUGCUCAUCUUGGGGUAUGGAAGGGAAAGUGGAAUUCCUAGUGUAGCGGUGAAAUGCGCAGAUAUUAGGAGGAAUACCGGUGGCGAAGGCGACUUUCUGGCCAUAACCUGACGCUGAGGUACGAAAGCGUGGGUAGCAAACAGG